rnacentral:rRNA from 1 species
AUGUCUUCCUCAAGCUCCCGCGCCACCUCGUGGAUGCAGAGCUGGGCGCGUGUGGACAUGCCUGUCUUCGUCUGUCCGCGGUGCCGGGCGGGCGUUGAUCGAAGGGUUUCUCAGACACCGAGGAACCAGAAUCGUCCGUUCUACGUGUGCAGCGAGAAUGGGGUAAGAAUCGGGGCAAUUGCACCAUUUUCGUCGUCGGGAUGUUUGAGCAAUGGGUUGAUCUGUUUAGUGUUCAUGCAGGUGACAUGCUUCUUUCUUUGGGUCGAUGCUCUGGCCAAGACUCUGAUGAAUGAACUGCAAGAAGAGCAUGAAGAAUGGUUGCGCAUGCUGCCACAAACGGCAGUGGCCACACCACGAGCUCUGGAAGAAGAGAUGGAUGGCAAAGCACGCACUGACAGAGAGCUAGCUAUUGAGCUUAGGAUGUUGAAGAAGAAGGUUAGGAAGCUUGAAGAUCAAGCACUACCAAUACCCAUUUGCAAAUACUUUUGGGCAUUUGUAGGUAUGGUAAUCGCACUGGUUGUAAUGUUAAAAAUGUAUGGAAAGGCAUGA